rnacentral:rRNA from 1 species
UACGUAGGGGGCUAGCGUUGUCCGGAUUUAUUGGGCGUAAAGAGCGUGUAGGCGGCCAGGUAGGUCUGCUGUGAAAACUCGAGGCUCAACCUCGAGACGUCGGCGGAAACCAUCUGGCUAGAGUCCGGAAGGGGAGAGUGGAAUUCCUGGUGUAGCGGUGAAAUGCGCAGAUAUCAGGAGGAACACCAAUGGCGAAGGCAGCUCGCUGGGACGGUACUGACGCUGAGACGCGAAAGCGUGGGGAGCGAACAGG